rnacentral:rRNA from 1 species
CAGUCGCCACGGGAAUACGUAGGUGGCAAGCGUUGUCCGGAAUUAUUGGGCGUAAAGGGCUCGCAGGCGGUUUCUUAAGUCUGAUGUGAAAGCCCCCGGCUCAACCGGGGAGGGUCAUUGGAAACUGGGAAACUUGAGUGCAGAAGAGGAGAGUGGAAUUCCACGUGUAGCGGUGAAAUGCGUAGAGAUGUGGAGGAACACCAGUGGCGAAGGCGACUCUCUGGUCUGUAACUGACGCUGAGGAGCGAAAGCGUGGGGAGCGAACAGGAUUAGAGACCCCCGUAGUCCCUGUCUCUUAUAC